rnacentral:lncRNA from 1 species
AUGGGGAGUGGGAAGGUUCUGGGAGGGCAUAUGGCACCCAGAAUAUGGCUGUAGGCAUUUGUAAAUGGGGUUGUUGACAUUGAGCUUUCAGGAAGAGAAGAUUAAGACACAGAGAUACCAGAGAGGUCGUUCACAGAGGAAAGACCAUGUGAAGACGCAGUGAGAAGGUGGCCAUAUUCAAGCUGAGGAGAGAGACCUCAGAAGAAACCAAUACUGCCAACGCCUUGGUCUUGGACUUCCAGCCUCCAGAACUGUCCUGGAUCAGAAGAUGCCUGACAAGAGGCCACUAUCAGCAGCAACAGCACAGUGGGGACAAACCUGAGACCUUGAUGGACCGUGGACACCAGCAGGAGAGACAGAGGAACUUGAAGUCUAAAUGGGCAGACAAGACCAACAUACACAAAGCAGAGAGUGGCACAAGAGCCAUGUCUGAUGCAACAGUGACUCAGGAGGAUCACUCUGACUCAGAAUGGCCAAGCAAAGGUAUUGGGAGGAAGUGGGAUAGAACUGAGCUUUGAAGACCGUGCUAAAAUAUUUACAGACUCCCCAGGUUAUCUCAAGUUCUCUCCAGGAAUUAGCUUCACCUCUUUGUGCUUUGGCUCCACAUCAGUUAAAUAGUGGUAACGUUUGAUCGUUAAGAACCAUGUAGAGAUGAAACAAUUUUCAAAGUUUUUUAAUUAAGUGUACUCAUUGCCACUCAAAGACAAAUACCAUAUAAAUAUAAUAAUAAUCAUAUUGAGAAACAAAAUAGCAAUGAUGCAGAUACUCAUGUACUGUUUCAUGUUUGUGGUCUUUGAGGGGAGUUUUUACUCAAAUAUCCCUAGAUGAAUAAAUACAUAUGGUCUAUAAA